rnacentral:lncRNA from 1 species
GGAACUUUUUGUGUCUCCUGAAUUUUUUCACAAUAAGCAUAUACUCAUUUUGUAACCAGAAAAAAAAGAAACUGUACAUCUAAAAUGUAAUGAUGAUGAGGCUUAGGUAGAAACACAGAAAAAAGAAUUUUCUGAGAGAACUUUUCCUGGGAGAUGGAGCAGGAUAACAUGAGCUUCUGGUCAUCCAACAGAGUAGCAGGUGGACAGACUGGAGCUAACCCAGGAGGUGGAUGGAAAGAAAGCUAGCAGAGGCUGGUGGUGGGGAGGGUGGUGGUCUGCAGCCUAAAUCCUAUGUUCCAGUCUAAGGGCCUGAUGAAGAAGUUGUUGCUUCCUGAACAUUCCAUAUGAGGCCUCCAUGCCCAUGAUGGAGGGUCUUCCAACAUUGCUAGCAGUGGACACUCCUUGGCCAAGAGCAAGAAGCCACUGAGUGCAUUCUGGAAAGUGCAAACCAAGAGCACCCUGAGUUUGUUGACUAAAAAUAUUAUUUGUGUAAAAUAUUUUUCUUGUGCUAAUGUUCUCACGCCUGGCUUUCAAGAAGGGUCUGCCUCACUUCGGAGUUGUCACUUAUUAGCAUCAUUAUGGAAGGCAGAGACGGACAUCAAACCCAGCCUCUCCCAUUUAUCUCCCAGCCAUUCCCAGGUACUGAGGGCAGGGAAGCCUUCACAGCCUUGCCCCUCUCUCAUCCUUUCCAUCCUCCAGCUCAUUAGUCGGUCCUGCUAAUUUUUCCCUACUCGCUCACCUUGGGGGUCCCAACUUGGAGGAAGCCUUCUGGAUUCUGAGCCUCAGGCCUCCUUCAGGGGCCCAUACCCCCCUGUUGGGUCCCAUGGUAGAGCCCUUGUCACACAGCACCGGCACAUCAGCUCGCUGGUCCCCUGCCCAUCUUCUGGAGGCCACAGCGCCUGGAGGGUGGUUCACAGGUGUCCUCUGUUCAAGACCCCAGCACAAUGCUUCACCUAGGACAGGUGACAAGCAAGCGAGUGAGUGAGCAAAUGAAUGCAUGAAUAAAGGAAUGAAUGAACAAACAAAUGCACUUUUUUUUCCCUCUGCAAGAUAUUUUAGGAUGAGAGCUCUCUUACCUAAUGCAAGAGCAGAAGCUUAUUCUGGAAUGUUCAGAAAAGUACAGAGGAUUUACUUGAGUUAAGUCUCCUGCUUUGCUUUGGUCCCUUUAACACGCCUUUGAAUCCCCUGGAGGACGGUUCUUUUCCCAGAUCCCCCUCUAUCUCCCCAGGAUCUAAGGUCUCCAGGCAUUUUUGUGGCAUGAAUAAAUGAAUCAAUGAAUGUGUGAAUGUCACUUCUCUGUUUCCUUCCUGUGAAAAGCUUGCAGCUCUAAGGGCCUCCAAAGUAAAGUAUCACAAGAGAAUGUCACCUCUCAACAAACUGUGAACAACUUUGAAAGAAAAAAGAAAUAGCGAUUGAGAAUCACGUAAGCAGCCUCAGCAUCAGCGGACAUCCUGAAAUUAGUGCUGGCCUGAAAUAGGUGCUUUUAUCACGAGUCUCAAAGUGGUAAAUCAACCAGGGAGUGAGUGAACGCGUGGGGAAAUGGAAGGGAACCCCCACAGGCACGAAGGGCGACUCCAGGUGUCUGGCAAAUGCCUUUGCAUCCACAGGAAAGUUGUCUCUAAUGCGGGGCUAUCGUCUGGCCAAAACCUCUUAUUUAAAGUCCAGCCUCAUGUAUGAUGUGAUGCUCUGACGCCCGCUGAGGCUGUCAGACUUGUGCAGGUCACUUAACCCCCUGAUGCUCAGUUGUCCCAGCCACACAAUUAGAAGUGUGGGAAUAGAGUGCUUGCCUAGAAGGGUUGUUAUAGAUUUUAAAUAAGUUCAUGAAUACGAAGCCAGUGCAGGGCUUGGUCCUCAAUAAUCAGUCGAUGCACUUGAACAAUGUUUUCAGGACAAUCACAGUCAUUCUAACAUCAGGACAGGACAGGCAAUUAUCAGGGGCUCCAUUUAUUUUACCUGCACUUUGUUUGUUUGUUUGUUUUGCUUUUUAGGGCCGCGCCUGCGGCAUACGGAGGUUCCCAGGCUAGGGGUCUAAUCAGAGCUACAGCUGCCAGCCUACACCCCCGCCACAGCAACGCCAGAUCCGAGCCACAUCUGUGACCUACAACACAGCUCAUGGCAAGGCCAUAUCCUUAACCCUCUGAGCGAGGCCAGGGAUUGAACCGACAACUUCAUGGUUCCUAGUUGGAUUCGUUUCCACUGCGCCACAAGGGGAACUCCAUGUUUUACUUUCAAUUUUUGCAACAGUGCCCAACAGUAAAUAUCCCUCUUCUCAUUUUGCUGAGGAGAAACCCAAAACACAGAGGGUUCCACAGUUCACAAGACUGCACAGCGUGUAGCAGCUAAACUGGGAAUUUAACUCUGGUGAAGUCACUCCUCCGUGUUCACACAGCAAACGGCAGAACCAAGAUGUGAAACAGCUUUAAGUGGAUGCAGAAGCUCAGACCAUGCCUAUCAGCUCAGAAUGGGUGGUGUCAAUGCAAAACUUAAAAAAAGACAAUCCCUGUAAUAAAAUGAUCAGCAAUUGUAGCUUGUAAUGUACAUAUUCAAGAGCAAUCAGCAGACCAGAAUACAAGUAUAAAUAAGCCUCUAAGAAGCUCCCAAUCCUAGUACGGAAGGUAAAGUAAGGUUAUCAAUAACUACAAGACAGACAGUACAGAGAAUGCGUUUUGAACAUCCUGGAGUUUGUGGAGAGACACGAGCUUGAAGUGCAAUAACCAGAACAGACACAAGAAAGUGGAGCUGGAAGGGUGGAUGGGGUUGCAAAGAGGGAGUUCCCUGGUGCCCUAGGGGGUUAAGGACCUUGCAUUGUCACUGCUGUGGAGGGGGUUCAAUCCCUGGUCUGGGACUAUCUUCAUGCAGCAGGAGUAGAUAAGAUAAAUAAAAUGAGAUUCCGGGUGAAGGGAUCUGAGAGCACGGGGACUCCAGAAGCCUGGUGCCUGGCUCCACCCUGGUCGGAGAGGGGAGGAUGCUGAAGGAGUAGGAAGGAGUCAGGGACCAAGGGGCUUGGCCCCCAUGUUAAAGGUGACAGGAAUCCCCCACAGACCUGGGAAUCAUCAGGUCACAGGUGGAACUUGCGGGGCAGCAAAACCAGGAAACCAAGGAGCAUUGUAUGUAGUCUCCUUGAGCUAAACCUCCUGCUGGUGGAGACCCAGGGAGGGAGGAAGCCAAGGGCCUUGUUGACAGUCAGGAGCAGUAAGAGGAGACAGCGAGAUCCGUCUGCUGAUUAUAAUGAGCCUCUGAAGUGCCCCUCACCACAUCUGGAGGGGGCUCGGCCGCCCUCGUGCCUCCGUGCAGUGGGGCGUCUGGGUCUAUUUUAGGAAGCUGGAUUUGCAGCUCCAGGAGCUGAUAACCAACCU